rnacentral:rRNA from 1 species
AUGGAGUCGCAGGCAACUGGGCGCAUGCUCGCCUUCGUCUCGUUGCUCACGAUAUGGAGCAUCGCCGUCCACGUUUCAUUGCCGGCCGCGGCGGCGCAUGCGCCGGCGCGAGUCGGCGUGGUGGUGGACCUGACGAGCGACGUGGGGAGGAAGAGCCUCACCUGCAUUUCCAAGGCUCUGAACGGGUUCUACCUCGAGCAUCCGAGUUGCGCCAAGCUGGUGGACCUACGCGCGAGGGAUUCGGCCGGAGAGGCCGAUUUUAGGCACCAGGAGGGGAAUUUCGCCCGGUUUUUUCCCCUCCUGUUGUGA